rnacentral:rRNA from 1 species
CUUUUAACAACGGAUCUCUUGGUUCUCGCAUCGAUGAAGAACGUAGCAAAGUGCGAUAACUAGUGUGAAUUGCAUAUUCAGUGAAUCAUCGAGUCUUUGAACGCAACUUGCACUCUAUGGUUUUCCGUAGAGUACGCUUGCUUCAGUAUCAUAAA